rnacentral:rRNA from 1 species
AUUGAACGCUGGCGGCAUGCCUAACACAUGCAAGUCGAACGAGACCUUCGGGUCUAGUGGCGCACGGGUGCGUAACGCGUGGGAACCUGCCUUUAGGUUCGGAAUAACUCAGAGAAAUUUGAGCUAAUACCGGAUGAUGUCUUCGGACCAAAGAUUUAUCGCCUUUAGAUGGGCCCGCGUUGGAUUAGCUAGUUGGUGGGGUAAAGGCCUACCAAGGCGACGAUCCAUAGCUGGUCUGAGAGGAUGAUCAGCCACACUGGGACUGAGACACGGCCCAGACUCCGACGGGGGGCAGCAGUGGGGAAUAUUGGACAGUGGGCGAAAGCCUGAUCCAGCAAUGCCGCGUGAGUGAUGAAGGCCUUAGGGUUGUAAAGCUCUUUUACCCGAGAUGAUAAUGACAGUAUCGGGAGAAUAAGCUCCGGCUAACUUCGUGCCAGCCGCCGCGGUAACAC